rnacentral:lncRNA from 1 species
UGUGGAUGACUCCUAGAGAUCGGACAUGUGUGCAAUUUGCAAAAUCAUCCUUAAGUCCGGAUCAGUAAGGUUAAAAUAUCUAACUUGCAAGGUAAUAGAUCUGAUCUAUUGUUUAAUACAUACAUUAGAUGUAGUAUAGAAACAUGUUGAUAUGAUCAACAUGUAGCUCAUGCUCUAUAUAUUUUUAUUUUAAUUUAAUACUAUAUAAUAAUCAUGUAAUAGGAUCUUAGAUUUAGAGAUUAUCUAAUUUUAGAAAAUAAAUUUUGAUUUAUUUUAGUCUUCCACUGCCUGAUCUUGAAAAAUUUCAAGAUCUAACCCUGAAACCCUAGAUCUGGUUCCUACACUAAGAACAUGCUUAAUUUUUUGAUUGAACAAAAGUGCCACUAGGCACUAUGUAUCAAUCCUAAAGCAUCACUUUAUCCAUUAGGCUUGAAGACUCGUUCCAUGUGAAACUCUUUUGUCUAUGAGGUAAACAACCAUAUAUGAGGCUUUUGUUUUUGAUAAAAUGGAUCAUUCAUACAGUUCUUAUUGUAAAUACAUCCAAAAGAGUCAGAAAAUAAAAAAUCUCAGAGUGG